AUUUUGGAAAGAAUUAGAGAAAAAUAAAGCAAAUGAAUUUAAUUGAGAUCUGGAUCUACUCAUGUUUAGCCAUAUUUUCUUGUAUUACUCUCUCUCCAAAUACAUGAAUUGAGAGGAUCUAGUUUAAUAUAAUUGGGGUCCUUGGCUUAUUCUGUGUGGUGUAAUGUCAGCCUCUCCAGGACAGAAUUGAUGUCCCAACCAAUUGAUCUGAUGUUGGCUUCUCAGGGUUACUUGUAUAGUAAUUCUUCUGUAAACUCUGAGCUUAAUAUUUUUACAAGUCUGUCAAAUACAAGGACAUCUUAACACACACACACAACAACAACAACACAAACACAUAGAUUCAUCAAAGAUGGUUAUUGAGAACUUGUUAUAUGCUAUGUGUUGUGGUGGGUGUGUUGAGAAUUAUAUACAUAAAUAUGCUUUAUAUUUUCUUAUCCUGUCCACUCACCAACCGGUUCCAGUGGAGCAAAGGAAAGUGACAAGCAUGGGUGCAAACUUCCUAGGAAAAGAGAAUUGAAACAAAGGAAAGACAAGCAAACAGGUUUCACUCAGAAGGAAGCUUACAUGUUUAUUUCUUACAGGUGCAGGAUUCAUUUGUUGCCGGAUGUGCAGGGGACAUGAAUGUUACUUGCUAUGGCCUAGAAGGCUAGAAGUUGGGUGGGUGAAUGCAAUGUAUACUGAACCAAGUGGUGGGAGAGAAUUUAAAUCCUGUCACAGGUCUCCCACUUUGGUACUUUGUACUGUAAAGCUGUGAAGCUUUAAUGGCAGACAAUCCGGAUUCAAAUCUGAAGUUGCAUGAUUAGUCAAGUAGUUCAUCACAGGCCGACUUGUUUGACAGUACUCUGUAGCUGGGGGAUCCGUUUUCCAGAGAUCUUCUGUGCUUGGUCUUUUGGGUGAAUUUGUGUUCAUUUUUCAACAGGCGGCUCUGCUACUAGAAAAUCUUUUUCAUUAUUUUACUUGAAAGAAAGAAAGAACGAAACUCUAAAGUCUCAAGUCUGAUAUAGAACAGCAAGCACAUGAUUGACGAAGUAUGUGUAAUUAUUUGUACAGAGCCUCAGAAAGAGAGAGUGAAUCCUUCAUCA